AGCAAACCACAGAAACGGCGUCCCAGUUCGGAUUGCAGCCUGCAACUCGGCUGCAUGAAGCUGGAAUCGCUAGUAAUCGCGGAUCAGAAUGCCGCGGUGAAUACGUUCCCGGGUCUUGUACACACCGCCCGUCACACCAUGGGAGUCGGGAAUGCCCGAAGUCAGUGACCCAACCGAAAGGGGGGAGCUGCCGAAGGCAGGCCUGGUAACUGGGGUGAAGUCGUAACAAGGUAGC
rnacentral:rRNA from 1 species